rnacentral:rRNA from 1 species
UACAGAGGGGGCAAGCGUUGUUCGGAAUUACUGGGCGUAAAGGGCGCGUAGGCGGCCUGUUAAGUCGAACGUGAAAUCCCCGGGCUCAACCCGGGAACUGCGUCCGAUACUGGCAGGCUUGAAUCCGGGAGAGGGAUGCGGAAUUCCAGGUGUAGCGGUGAAAUGCGUAAAUAUCUGGAGGAACACCGGUGGCGAAGGCGGCAUCCUGGACCGGCAUUGACGCUGAGGCGCGAAAGCCAGGGGAGCAAACGGG